GAUUAACGUUGGUAGUAUGCCUAACACAUGCAAGUCGAGCGGAAAGUAGUAGCAAUAUUGCUUUUAGCGGCGAACGGGUGAGUAAUACUUAUCUACUUGCCGAUUAGUGGGAGAGGCUCAUAGAGCCCGGAUAGGUCUGGGGAAACUCAGGCUAAUACCGCAUAAUCUGGUUUCGACCAGGAAAGGAAGUCGCAAGGCUUUCGCUAAUUGAUAGGGAUAAGUCGUAUUAGUUAGUUGGUGGGGUAAUGGCCUACCAAGACGAAGAUGCGUAGCCAGGCUGAGAGGCUGAUUGGCCACAAGGGAACUGAGACACGGUCCCUACUCCCGAUUGGGAGGCAGCAGUGAGGAAUUUUUGGCAAUGGGGGAAACCCUGACCGAGCAAUACUACGUGAAGGAAGAAGGUCUAUGGAUUGUAAACUUCUUUACUUGGAUGUACUCCUUAAAGCUUGCAUCCGAGCAAAAAGUCACGACUAACUACGUGC
rnacentral:rRNA from 1 species